rnacentral:rRNA from 1 species
AUUGAACGCUGGCGGCAUGCCUUACACAUGCAAGUCGAACGGGGGUAGCAAUACCCUAGUGGCGAACGGGUGAGUAAAGCAUCGGAACGUACCCAGUCGUGGGGGAUAACGUAGCGAAAGUUACGCUAAUACCGCAUACGAUCUGAGGAUGAAAGCAGGGGACUCGCAAGAGCCUUGCGCGAUUGGAGCGGCCGAUGUCGGAUUGGCUAGUUGGUGGGGUAAAAGCCUACCAAAGCGACGAUCCGUAGCUGGUCUGAGAGGAUGAUCAGCCACACUGGGACUGAGACACGGCCCAGACUCCUACGGGAGGCAGCAGUGGGGAAUUGUGGACAAUGGGGGAAACCCUGAUCCAGCCAUGCCGCGUGAGUGAAGAAGGCCUUCGGGUUGUAAAGCUCUUUCAGACGGAAAGAAAUGGUCUUGGCUAAUACCCGAGAUCGAUGACGGUACCGUAAGAAGAAGCACCGGCUAACUACGUGCCAGCAGCCGCGGUAA